rnacentral:rRNA from 1 species
UAGGGAAUCUUCGGCAAUGGGGGGAACCCUGACCGAGCAACGCCGCGUGAGUGAAGAAGGUUUUCGGAUCGUAAAGCUCUGUUGUUAAGGAAGAACGAGUGUGAGAAUGGAAAGUUCAUGCUGUGACGGUACUUAACCAGAAAGGGACGGCUAACUACGUGCCAGCAGCCGCGGUAAUACGUAGGUCCCGAGCGUUGUCCGGAUUUAUUGGGCGUAAAUCGAGCGCAGGCGGUUAGAAAAGUCUGAAGUGAAAGGCAGUGGCUCAACCAUUGUAGGCUUUGGAAACUGUUUAACUUGAGUGCAGAAGGGGAGAGUGGAAUUCCAUGUGUAGCGGUGAAAUGCGUAGAUAUAUGGAGGAACACCGGUGGCGAAAGCGGCUCUCUGGUCUGUAACUGACGCUGAGGCUCGAAAGCGUGGGGAGCGAACAGG